AGGUAUGAUCACUGAAACCAUGCUGAAGGUCGUCUUUGUGCUUGGAUGCCUCCUGAGCCUUGCUUUGGCUCUUCCUAUCUCUGAGGAGGAAGACAGAGUCAUACGCUCAGCGAGUUUUGAGCUUUCGUCACUCUUCUCCAACCUCCAACCCAACCAAAUCUUGGCAACAUUGCUGCGACUUUUGUUGGGAGGUCUUUGAUCUG